rnacentral:rRNA from 1 species
GAUGAACGCUGGCGGCGUGCCUAAUACAUGCAAGUCGAGCGAACAGAUGAGGAGCUUGCUCCUCUGACGUUAGCGGCGGACGGGUGAGUAACACGUGGAUAACCUACCUAUAAGACUGGGAUAACUUCGGGAAACCGGAGCUAAUACCGGAUAAUAUAUUGAACCGCAUGGUUCAAUAGUGAAAGACGGUUUUGCUGUCACUUAUAGAUGGAUCCGCGCCGCAUUAGCUAGUUGGUAAGGUAACGGCUUACCAAGGCAACGAUGCGUAGCCGACCUGAGAGGGUGAUCGGCCACCCUGGAACUGGAAACAGGGCCAGACUCCUACGGGAAGCAGCAGGAGGGAAUCUUCCGCAAUGGGCGGAAGCCUGACGGAACAACGCCGGGGGAGUGAUAGAGGUCUUCGGAUCGUAAAACUCUGUUAUUAGGGAAGAACAAAUGUGUAAGUAACUAUGCACGUCUUGACGGUACCUAAUCAGAAAGGCACGGCUAACUACGUG